AGAGGAUGAUCAGCCACACUGGAACUGAGACACGGUCCAGACUCCUACGGGAGGCAGCGAGUGGGGAAUAUUGCGCAAUGGGCGAAGCCUGACGCAGCCACGCCGCGUGAGCGAUGAAGGCCUUCGGGUCGUAAAGCUCUGUGGGGAGAGAAGAAUAAAGCCUGUGAAGAAUGGGCCUUGACGGUAUCUCCUUAGCAAGCACCGGCUAACUCCGUGCCAGCAGCCGCGGUAAUACGGAGGGUGCAAACGUUGCUCGGAAUCAUUGGGCGUAAAGCGCACGUAGGCGGCGAAGCAAGUCGGGUGUGAAAGCCCUGGGCUCAACCCAGGAAGUGCAUUCGAAACUAUUUCGCUUGAAUCUCGGAGGGGGUCAGAGAAUUCCCGGUGUAGAGGUGAAAUUCGUAGAUAUCGGGAGGAAUACCAGUGGCGAAGGCG
rnacentral:rRNA from 1 species